AAUACCACCCUUUAAUGUUUGAUGUUCUAACGUGGACCCGUGAUCCGGGUUGCGGACAGUGUCUGGUGGGUAGUUUGACUGGGGCGGUCUCCUCCUAAAGAGUAACGGAGGAGCACGAAGGUUGGCUAAUCCUGGUCGGACAUCAGGAGGUUAGUGCAAUGGCAUAAGCCAGCUUGACUGCGAGCGUGACGGCGCGAGCAGGUGCGAAAGCAGGUCAUAGUGAUCCGGUGGUUCUGAAUGGAAGGGCCAUCGCUCAACGGAUAAAAGGUACUCCGGGGAUAACAGGCUGAUACCGCCCAAGAGUUCAUAUCGACGGCGGUGUUUGGCACCUCGAUGUCGGCUCAUCACAUCCUGGGGCUGAAGUAGGUCCCAAGGGUAUGGCUGUUCGCCAUUUAAAGUGGUACGCGAGCUGGGUUUAGAACGUCGUGAGACAGUUCGGUCCCUAUCUGCCGUGGGCGCUGGAGAACUGAGGGGGGCUGCUCCUAGUACGAGAGGACCGGAGUGGACGCAUCACUGGUGUUCGGGUUGUCAUGCCAAUGGCACUGCCCGGUAGCUAAAUGCGGAAGAGAUAAGUGCUGAAAGCAUCUAAGCACGAAACUUGCCCCGA
rnacentral:rRNA from 4 species